AAUGCUCCCCAAGGCGACGAUCAGUAGCUGGUCUGAGAGGAUGAUCAGCCACACUGGGACUGAGACACGGCCCAGACUCCUACGGGAGGCAGCAGUGGGGAAUUUUCCACAAUGGGCGAAAGCCUGAUGGAGCAAUACCGCGUGAGGGAUGAAGGAUCGUGGUCUGUAAACCUCUUUUCUUAAGGAAGAAUAAAUGACGGUACUUAAGGAAUAAGCACCGGCUAACUCCGUGCCAGCAGCCGCGGUAAUACGGGGGGUGCAAGCGUUGUCCGGAAUGAUUGGGCGUAAAGCAUCUGUAGGUGGUUUUUAAAGUCAACUGUUAAAGCCCAGGGCUUAACUUUGGAAAAGCGGUUGAGCACUUAAGGACUUGAGUAUGGUAGGGGUAGAGGGAAUUCCUUGUGGAGCGGUGAAAUGCACAGAGAUAAGGAAGAACACCAAAGGCGAAAGGGCAUA
rnacentral:rRNA from 1 species